rnacentral:rRNA from 1 species
CCUACGGGAGGCAGCAGUGGGGAAUAUUGCACAAUGGGCGAAAGCCUGAUGCAGCAACGCCGCGUGAGCGAUGAAGGCCUUCGGAUCGUAAACCUCUGUCAGCAGGGAAGAACGGUCACUGUGCUAAUCAGCAGUGAAUUGACGGUACCUGCAAAGGCAGCACCGGCUAACUCCGUGCCAGCAGCCGCGGUAAUACGGAGGGUGCGAGCGUUAAUCGGAAUUACUGGGCGUAAAGCGCUCGUAGGCGGUAUGUCAAGUCAAGGGUGAAAUCCCCGCGCUCAACGUGGGAACUGCCUUUGAAACUGGCAAACUGGAGUGUGUGAGAGGAGAGUGGAAUUCCAGGUGUAGGAGUGAAAUCCGUAGAUAUCUGGAGGAACAUCAGUGGCGAAGGCGACUAUCUGGCACAUAACUGACGCUGAGGAGCGAAAGCGUGGGUAGCAAACAGGAUUAGAUACCCGAGUAGUC